rnacentral:rRNA from 1 species
UACGGAGGGGGCUAGCGUUGUUCGGAAUUACUGGGCGUAAAGCGCACGUAGGCGGCUUUGUAAGUUAGAGGUGAAAGCCCGGGGCUCAGCUCCGGAAUUGCCUUUAAGACUGCAUCGCUAGAAUUGUGGAGAGGUAAGUGGAAUUCCGAGUGUAGAGGUGAAAUUCGUAGAUAUUCGGAAGAACACCAGUGGCGAAGGCGACUUACUGGACACAUAUUGACGCUGAGGUGCGAAAGCGUGGGGAGCGAACAGG